CCUACGGGAGGCAGCAGUAGGGAAUCUUUCACAAUGGGCGAAAGCCUGAUGGAGCAACGCCGCGUGCAGGAUGAAGGCCUUCGGGUUGUAAACUGCUUUUAUAAGCGAGAAAUAUGAUGGUAACUUAUGAAUAAGGAUCGGCUAACUACGUGCCAGCAGCCGCGGUCAUACGUAGGAUCCGAGCAUUAUCCGGAGUGACUGGGUGUAAAGAGUUGCGUAGGUGGCAUAAUAAGUAGCUAGUGAAAUCUGGUGGCUCAACCAUUCAGUCUAUUAGCUAAACUGUUAAGCUCGAGACCGUUAGGGGUAACUGGAAUUUCUAGUGUAGGAGUGAAAUCCGUAGAUAUUAGAAGGAACACCAAUAGCGUAGGCAGGUUGCUGGGACGGUUCUGACACUAAGGCACGAAAGCGUAGGGAGCAAACGGGAUUAGAUACCCGUGUAGUC
rnacentral:rRNA from 1 species